rnacentral:rRNA from 1 species
UGGGGAAUAUUGCACAAUGGGCGCAAGCCUGAUGCAGCCAUGCCGCGUGUAUGAAGAAGGCCUUCGGGUUGUAAAGUACUUUCAGCUGGGAGGAAGGGAGUAAAGUUAAUACCUUUGCUCAUUGACGUUACCCGCAGAAGAAGCACCGGCUAACUCCGUGCCAGCAGCCGCGGUAAUACGGAGGGUGCAAGCGUUAAUCGGAAUUACUGGGCGUAAAGCGCACGCAGGCGGUUUGUUAAGUCAGAUGUGAAAUCCCCGGGCUCAACCUGGGAACUGCAUCUGAUACUGGCAAGCUUGAGUCUCGUAGAGGGGGGUAGAAUUCCAGGUGUAGCGGUGAAAGGCGUAGAGAUCUGGAGGAAUACCGGUGGCGAAGGCGGCCCCCUGGACGAAGACUGACGCUCAGGUGCGAAAGCGUGGGGAGCAAACAGG